UACGGAGGAUCCGAGCGUUAUCCGGAUUUAUUGGGUUUAAAGGGUGCGCAGGCGGGAGAUUAAGUCGGCGGUGAAAUUUUGCAGCUCAACUGUAAAAGUGCCUUCGAAACUGGUUUCCUUGAGUGUAGAUGAAGUAGGCGGAAUUUGUAGUGUAGCGGUGAAAUGCUUAGAUAUCACGAGGAACUCCGAUUGCGCAGGCAGCUUACUAAACUACUACUGACGCUCAGGCACGAAGGCGUGGGAUCAAACAGGAUUAGAUACCCCGGUAGUCCCUGA
rnacentral:rRNA from 1 species